UACGGGGGGGGGCAAGCGUUGUUCGGAAUUACUGGGCGUAAAGGGUUUGUAGGUGGCUGGCUAAGCCACACGUGAAAUCCCUCAGCUUAACUGGGGAACUGCGUGUGGGACUGGCGAGCUUGAGGACAGGAGAGGAACGCGGAAUUCCAGGUGUAGCGGUGAAAUGCGUAGAUAUCUGGAGGAACACCGGUGGCGAAGGCGGCGUUCUGGACUGUUUCUGACACUGUAAAACGAAAGCCAGGGGAGCAAACGGG
rnacentral:rRNA from 1 species